AGUGUGUAAUUUACUCAAAUGCCUUUCCUUUCAUAUAUUUAAAAUGACUUGCAGAUUUAUAACUUUAUUAGCUCUGAGGACAUUAUGACUGUAAACAAAAGAUAUGUGCGGCUGAUGCUCCUUUGGUUAUGAACAGCUCGUGCAAGCGUGCGUGUGUGUCGUGCACACCUCUGGUUGCAGUUUCGCUUGUCGCCAGAGGGGGCGUAGUUCUGCAAAAACUCAGAGACUUGCGCAAUGCACCU